GGGAGAGUGUAACCGGGGCAGGUAUAGCCGAUGUUUAAUUCCCCUGGUGCUUUUUCCCUUGAAGUUUUUGCUAUGAUGCAGUUAUGCGUGCUGUCUCCUUUAAGAGUUUGAUCAUAUGCACGAGAGCGUGUGUGCGUCAGAAAGGAACAGAGAGCGCGCUGAUAGAAGCAGCAGUUACAAGGGAGGAGAAAAUAGUUGAUUAGAAACUGCAAAACGGAUAUAAUCCAGGUUAAUUCUCAACUUGUGGACCUGUGGUGGUUUCAGUUGUGUGUCUGCAUGAGUAGAUGACAAUUCAGUGUUUGUAUUAGUGUUUGUUGCUGCAUAUGAGAAAUCUCCGGUGGGGGAGGGGAUUCAGGCCUACUUCAACGGAGAUUGAGCAGGGGAGAGCAAGAUUGUGAGAUCGCACGUGCCAGUUUCCACGUGAUUGGUAAUCCAAAGUCUCAUAUAACAGCACAUAUAAGCCACUGCCGUUGUUUUAUACACCUUUAUUUGGUUCUUUAACAUAGAUUGCACUCUUUCAAGUCAAAUUGGGACUUGUGAUCUGGUGUUUUGAUUAGAGAUUAUUACUGUAAAGGACUUAUUUUUGUUAUUUGUUUUUCUUAUGUUAUUUCACAUUCUGUGCCCAUUGAAGGGAACCGAGUCACAUCAUUUGUUUUGUUUUAUUAUUCUGUUUUAUACGACUUUUCUUGUUUAAUUGGAUCUAAGUCCUGAGAAAAAACUAUUUUUCCCUGAACCAAACAUUUAAUGCUGGGUCUUCUUUUGAGGCUCAGUCAAGAAUAAAAGAAUCCUUUUUUAGUAGAUGUUUUGGCAUUGUCUCUUCCUUUUAUAUAUUAGAAGGAC